rnacentral:rRNA from 1 species
AAACCAACAGGGAUUACCUCAGUAACGGCGAGUGAAGCGGUAACAGCUCAAAUUUGAAAUCUGGGUCUUUCAGGCUCCGAGUUGUAAUUUGUAGAAGAUGCUUUGGGUGCGGCCCCGGUCUAAGUUCCUUGGAACAGGACGUCAUAGAGGGUGAGAAUCCCGUAUGUGAUCGGUGGCUUGCGCCCGUGUAAAGCUCUUUCGACGAGUCGGGUUGUUUGGGAAUGCAGCUCUAAAUGGGUGGUAAAUUUCAUCUAAAGCUAAAUAUUGGCCAGAGACCGAUAGCGCACAAGUAGAGUGAUCGAAAGAUGAAAAGCACUUUGGAAAGAGAGUUAAACAGUACGUGAAAUUGUUGAAAGGGAAGCGCUUGCAACCAGACUUGCGCGGGGUUGAUCAUCCGGGGUUCUCCCCGGUGCACUCGGCCUCGCUCAGGCCAGCAUCGGUUUCGGUGGUUGGAUAAAGGCCUUGGGAAUGUGACUCCUUUCGGGGAGUGUUAUAGCCCUCGGUGCAAUGCAGCCUACCGGGACCGAGGACCGCGCUUCGGCUAGGAUGCUGGCGUAAUGGUUGUAAGCGAC